AAAAAUUCGAUUAAAUUUUAGUUAAUUUUUCUUUUGACAUUCAUGGAGAUUCUUUCACAUAUUUGUAUAGAAAAAAAAGACUAGAUACAAAACCCUUUAAGAUAUUGAGAUUGGGUAAUUUUUUCUUUGUUAUUACAUUUUGGUAGUGAA